rnacentral:rRNA from 1 species
CCCGCAACGAGCCCAACCCUUAUCCUUUGUUGCCAGCGAUUCGGUCGGGAACUCAAAGGAGACUGCCGGUGAUAAACCGGAUGAAGGUGGGGAUGACGUCAAGUCAUCAUGGCCCUUACGGCCAGGGCUACACACUUGCUACAAUGGUGCAUUUAAGACAAUCGACCUCGCGAGAGCAAGCGGACCUCAUAAAGUGCGUCGUAGUCCGGAUCGGAGUCUGCAACUCGACUCCUUGAAGUCGGAAUCGCUUGUAAUCUUAGAUCACAAUGUUACGGUUAAUA